GCUGGCGGCGUGCUUAACACAUGCAAGUGGAGCGACGAACCAGGGCUUGCCCUGGGGCAAAGCCGCGAACGGGUGAGUAACACGUGGGUAACCUGCCCCGAAGACCGGGACAACCCGAGGAAACUCGGGCUAAUACCGGAUGUGGUUGCUCUUCAUAAGUAGAGCAAGCAAAGGGAGCUUCGGCCCCCGCUUCGGGAUGGGCCCGCGGCCCAUUANCUUGUUGGUGAGGUAACGGCUCACCAAGGCGACGAUGGGUAGCUGGUCUGAGAGGACGAUCAGCCACACUGGGACUGAGACACGGCCCAGACUCCUACGGGAGGCAGCAGUGGGGAAUCUUGCGCAAUGGGCGA
rnacentral:rRNA from 1 species